rnacentral:rRNA from 1 species
UACGGGGGGGGCAAGCGUUGUUCGGAAUUACUGGGCGUAAAGGGCGUGUAGGUGGCCAACUAAGUCCGACGUGAAAUCCCCAGGCUUAACCUGGGAACUGCGUCGGAUACUGGAUGGCUUGAAUUCGGGAGAGGGAUGCAGAAUUCCAGGUGUAGCGGUGAAAUGCGUAGAUAUCUGGAGGAACACCGGUGGCGAAGGCGGCAUCCUGGACCGGUAUUGACGCUGAGGCGCGAAAGCCAGGGGAGCAAAUGGG